rnacentral:rRNA from 1 species
AUUGAACGCUGGCGGCAUGCUUUACACAUGCAAGUCGAACGGUAACAGGCCGCAAGGUGCUGACGAGUGGCGAACGGGUGAGUAAUGCAUCGGAACGUGCCCAGUCGUGGGGGAUAACGCAGCGAAAGCUGUGCUAAUACCGCAUACGAUCUGCGGAUGAAAGCGGGGGACCGGAAGGCCUCGCGCGAUGGGAGGGGCCGAUGUCAGAUUAGGUAGUUGGUGGGGUAAAGGCUCACCAAGCCAACGAUCUGUAGCUGGUCUGAGGGGACGACCAGCCACACUGGGACUGAGACACGGCCCAGACUCCUACGGGAGGCAGCAGUGGGGAAUUUUGGACAAUGGGCUCAAGCCUGAUCCAGCAAUGCCGCGUGCAGGAAGAAGGCCUUCGGGUUGUAAACUGCUUUUGUACGGAGCGAAAAGGCUCCCUCUAAUACAGGGGGCUCAUGACGGUACCGUAAGAAUAAGCACCGGCUAACUACGUGCCAGCAGCCGCCGUAAAAC